GUCAGUGCAGGCUCUUGUAGCGCUGGCCAUCCUCUUCCUCUUCUAGGAAAAAAAAGGUUGGAUCGGUCGAUCGAUGCGGCGCGGCGAUGUCGACGACGACGUCAGGCACCACCGCCGGAUUCCCCGCGCCGACGAGAUCGAUGCUGCCAGGUUCCCCAUGACAAUCUGUUACAGCGACGACGACGAGGAGAUCGAUCUGAAGUCGCCGUCGGAGAUCGUAGCCCUCUACGCCGCGUGCCGCGACCGCAUCACCGAGUACGACCCCAAGAAGAGAGCCCGCGUUCUCACCCGCUUCUGCGGCGUCAACCUCGCCGGCUUCGACCUCGACAGAGAGUCCAAGGUUGGCCUCGGGCCGCUGCUUGAGGAUGUAACGCCGCAGCUGUGGGAGCUCCGGGCGGGGACGUCGUACAAUGUCGUUUCGGUCAAGGUAAUCGAAUCCGAUCGGGGCUACCCGGUCAGUGUGUUCGGUACCGUUCUCGUGAGAGAUAGCAUCGACUACAGAUGCGUCUAUCUGUUCAGACGCGAGAGAGAAGAUCCCCAGAUCAUCAACUCCAAGGAGGAUAUGUUAGCAUUGACAGGUCCACGUCGAGGAUUAGUAGCAUUUGAUAAUAUACAUUUUGAGUUCAACCUGAAGGUAAAGGGUGAUCCUGAUGAUGAAGACUUUAGCAAAGGCGUAAUUGAGUCCCGCACCUUUGACUCUGGACCCAUAACUAUGAUGCUACCUAGUUGGCUCAGUACAGUGGAAUUAGUAUUUGCACCUGUUAAACAUCCGGUGGCGGCUAGCCUCCAAAUCAACAUUCUGAACGGUCCGCCCUAUGCCCCUUUCGUUGGCAAAGUAUCUGCUGGGACUAGAAAUGCCGAGACCCAUAUUAUUCUAUACGAUGGUAGAGCAAUGAGUUGCAGCGGGAUAUUAGUCGGAGAUGAUGGCUCCAUUCCCUUGAGUCGUAAUUUGGUGGUUAUCCCUAUACCUACAUGGGACGAUGAUGAAGAGUUUUUGGUCCAUGUUUGUAUUUUUGAUAAUGACGAGGAUGAAGGCACUCAUGUUACUCUACAGCACCCUGAUGAAGAGCAUGUUUGCACUCACGGUUCCUAUGAGCUAAAAGUGAAGGUUACAUGGACUGCCAUCCUCACAAGACCGAUGGGUGCCAAAUAUAACCCAAAGAGGAACCUCUCUUGGGCCGAGCGUUAUGGUUCGCUGAAUUACAGUGGUUGAUGAUGGUGAUUGUUGACCCUUGUCUGUGACGUGGGAGGACAUGGCCCUGUAGCCAGAACUUGCAGAAGACGCCCACUUCACUUUUUCAGGUUUGAUAUGGACAGUUCUCUUCAGAACUGCGAGCUUCGUCAUCAGAUCAAUUACCUUAAUCCCGCGCCAAGGUUUGUUUUGCGCCACAGAACCUGAAAUGACAUCCCACUGGUUGAACAGCUCAGUGUGCUCCUUGGGUACCGGACUAUCCAGUUCUUCGUCAAUGUUGUCAGUCACCCAUGUCCUCCAGAGCGCGAAGCGGAUUGCUUCGCAAAUCAUUACAGUCGGGAAAGAUAGGGGGCCGGAUUUCAGAACCUGAAGUCCCCUCUCACUGCGGUAUAGCUCUCCAAGUUCUCCCAAGCUGGCGAUGCAGUGGGUAAAAGCUGCUUUACCCACGUUUAUGCCGAAUCCACCUAUCUUCAAGUAGGAGCUAGUGAGGGGCAACUGGACGGUCCCAAGUCCAGGCCUGCUGGUAUUGUACGGGAACUGAUCUCCAGACGGCGGAAGUAUGUCCGUACCAAAUUCAGAGUAGCGAUACCACACACCUGUAGUGUAAAACAAACAAACAAACAAGUCUUGUAAUAGCUUGACAAGAAUAUAAUAACGUGCUUAAGAAGUGUUUCCAUUUGCUUUUCUGUUUAUGCUCACAGAUUAAUGGGUAAUUUGGUAGCCGGAACCGA